AUUGAACGCUGGCGGCAUGCCUAACACAUGCAAGUCGAGCGGAUGAAGGGAGCUUGCUCCUGGAUUCAGCGGCGGACGGGUGAGUAAUGCCUAGGAAUCUGCCUGUUAGUGGGGGAUAACGUCCGGAAACGGGCGCUAAUACCGCAUACGUCCUGAGGGAGAAAGUGGGGGAUCUUCGGACCUCACGCUAUCAGAUGAGCCUAGGUCGGAUUAGCUAGUUGGUGGGGUAAAGGCCUACCAAGGCGACGAUCCGUAACUGGUCUGAGAGGAUGAUCAGUCACACUGGAACUGAGACACGGUCCAGACUCCUACGGGAGGCAGCAGUGGGGAAUGUUGGACAAUGGGCGAAAGCCUGAUCCAGCCAUGCUGCGUGUGUGAAGAAGGUCUUCGGAUUGUAAAGCACUUUUAGUUGGGAGGAAGAGCAGUACGUUAAUACCUUGCUGGUUUGACGUUACCAACAGAAUAAGCACCGGCUAACUUCGUG
rnacentral:rRNA from 1 species